GGGGAAUUUUCCGCAAUGGGCGAAAGCCUGACGGAGCAACGCCGCGUGAGGGAGGAAGGCCCUUGGGUUGUAAACCUCUUUUCUGGGGGAAGAAGAACUGACGGUACCCCAGGAAUAAGCAUCGGCUAACUCCGUGCCAGCAGCCGCGGUAAUACGGAGGAUGCAAGCGUUAUCCGGAAUCAUUGGGCGUAAAGCGUCCGCAGGUGGCUAUUCAAGUCUGCUGUCAAAGCAUGGAGCUUAACUCCAUAGAGGCGGUGGAAACUGAAAGGCUAGAGGCCGGUAGGGGUAGUGGGAAUUCCCAGUGUAGCGGUGAAAUGCGUAGAGAUUGGGAAGAACAUCGGUGGCGAAAGCGCACUACUGGGCAGGACCUGACACUGAGGGACGAAAGCUAGGGGAGCAAAAGGGAUUAGAUACCCCUGUAGUCCUAGCCGUAAACGAUGGAGACUAGGCGUAGCUUGUAUCGACCCGAGCUGUGCCGAAGCUAACGCGUUAAGUCUCCCGCCUGGGGAGUACGCACGCAAGUGUGAAACUCAAAGGAAUUGACGGGGGCCCGCACAAGCGGUGGAGUAUGUGGUUUAAUUCGAUGCAACGCGAAGAACCUUACCAGGGCUUGACAUCUGUAGAACCUUGCGGAAACGUGAGGGUGCCUUCGGGAGCUACAAGACAGGUGGUGCAUGGCUGUCGUCAGCUCGUGUCGUGAGAUGUUGGGUUAAGUCCCGCAACGAGCGCAACCCUCGUUUUUAGUUGCCAUCAUUAAGUUGGGCACUCUAGAGAGACUGCCGGUGACAAACCGGAGGAAGGUGGGGAUGACGUCAAGUCAGCAUGCCCCUUACGUCCUGGGCUACACACGUACUACAAUGGUCGGGACAGAGGGCAGCGAACUCGCAAGAGCAAGCGAAUCUCAUCAAACUCGGCCUCAGUUCAGAUUGCAGGCUGCAACUCGCCUGCAUGAAGGAGGAAUCGCUAGUAAUCGCCGGUCAGCAUACGGCGGUGAAUUCGUUCCCGGGCCUUGUACACACCGCCCGUCACACCAUGGGAGCUGGCCACGCCCGAAGUCGUUACCCUAACCGAAAGGAGGGGGAUGCCGAAG
rnacentral:misc_RNA from 1 species